UACGGGGGGGGUAAGCGUUGUUCGGAAUUACUGGGCGUAAAGGGCUCGUAAGCGGCCAACUAAGUCGGACGUGAAAUCCCUCAGCUUAACUGGGGAACUGCGUCCGAUACUGGAUGGCUUGAGUUCGGGAGAGGGAUGCGGAAUUCCAGGUGUAGCGGUGAAAUGCGUAGAUAUCUGGAGGAACACCGGUGGCGAAGGCGGCAUCCUGGACCGACACUGACACUGAGGAGCGAAAGCCAGGGGAGCAAACGGG
rnacentral:rRNA from 1 species